CGUAGAGAUACGGUCCCCUUGUGGUCGGUGUCAGGUGGUGCAUGGCUGUGUCAGCUCGUGUCGUGAGAUGUUGGGUUAAGUCCCGCAACGAGCGCAACCCUUUGUCUUAUGUUGCCAGCACGUGAUGGUGGGGACUCGUAAGAGACUGCCGGGGUCAACUCGGAGGAAGGUGGGGACGACGUCAAGUCAUCAUGCCCCUUAUGUCCAGGGCUUCACACAUGCUACAAUGGCCAGUACAGAGGGCUGCGAGACCGUGAGGUGGAGCGAACCCCUUAAAGCUGGUCUCAGUUCGGAUCGGGGUCUGCAACUCGACCCCGUGAAGUCGGAGUCGCUAGUAAUCGCAGAUCAGCAACGCUGCGGUGAAUACGUUCCCGGGCCUU
rnacentral:rRNA from 1 species